rnacentral:tRNA from 1 species
CCGGGGCCUGGAGGAGCGGCGGCACUGGCACACCUCCUGCUGGGAGCGCGGCCUGUGGCGCUAGCUCCGGUUCAACGCGGCAGGCCCCGGA